rnacentral:rRNA from 1 species
CAUUACACAAAUAUGAAGCCGGACUGGGAUAGGGCCUCGCUGCCUUGCCCGUCUGGCGCCAUAUUCACCCAUGUCUUUUUGCGUACUACUUGUUUCCUUGGCGGGUCCGCCCGCCAAUUGGACCUUAUUCAAACCUUUUUUUCAGUUGCAAUCAGCGUCAGCAAAACAAAUGUAAUCAAUUACAACUUUCAACAACGGAUCUCUUGGUUCUGGCAUCGAUGAAGAACGCAGCGAAAUGCGAUAAGUAGUGUGAAUUGCAGAAUUCAGUGAAUCAUCGAAUCUUUGAACGCACAUUGCGCCCUUUGGUAUUCCAAAGGGCAUGCCUGUUCGAGCGUCAUUUGUACCCUCAAGCUUUGCUUGGUGUUGGGCGUCUUGUCUCUCUCCCGAGACUCGCCUUAAAAUCAUUGGCAGCCGGCCUACUGGUUUCGGAGCGCAGCACAUUAUUUGCGCUCUUGUCCAGCCGCGGUCGCGCGUCCAUGAAGCUUCUUUCAACCUUUUGACCUCGGAUCAGGU